rnacentral:lncRNA from 1 species
UGUUUCUGCAGUUUCAAAUAUUUAGGGCAAUCUAGUUGUUUUCUAGGGUUUCUUAUUUGUUGGGUGAAUUGGGGUUGCUAAUUUUUAGGGUUUAUUUUAUGGGUUAAUUUUUGUGUAGAAUUUCAAUUAUUACGAUUGAUGUUCAGGUAUAAUCUCUGCAAUUUCAUGAUAUAGUUAUUAUUUUUACUCAAAAAAAUAAAAACAAAAAUACUAUACUGUUGCAAUCCUAUUGGAUUAGGAAUGUGAUUGUGUAAAUCCUAGUGUAUCUAGGAGUAUCUUUGUAUAUUCCCUUUAGUAGUUAAAUUCCUAUUAAAUUUGUAAUCCUAUUAGACUAAAGAUUUAACCUUCCCAGCUACUAUAAAUAAAGGCACAAUGAGGUGAUACAACACACACCUCAAACUUACAUCUCUCUCUUCUCUCUCUGUUGUUGCCGGCCCCUCUCCUUCUCUGUCCUAAAUACAGUUCAGUCAAAUAGGUCUGCUACACGUUAUCAGCACGCUCUUGGCAGAAGCUAAGGAAUUGAAGGAUUGUGGAUGAGGCUUUCUUCUACAGCAUCAAAUGCUUUCAAUUAUUUAUUGCCAAUCAGGUUCUUUUAAAAUAAAUUAAGAUAUUUAAAAAAAAACAUUGAAGCAUGAAAACAUUCCCCAUGAUGCAUAAACCCCUAUAUUUAUAUUUUCCUUGCAAUUAUAUAUAUUGUACAUGUUCAUAUAUUUUGUCAAUAUAUUUACUUGUUCAUACAAUACGCAAUUAUGUUAUGUGGAAUUUGUGAGUCAAAGCAUUGAAAUUAAUUUAGAAGCAAUUAGGGUUUUUAACCCUCGAAUUUAAAAAAAAAAAUUCUGGGAUUUUGCAACAUAAGUUGCGGCUCACCG